GCCAGGCAUGGUAAUUCCAGCUACUGGAGAGGCUGAGGCUGGUGGAUCUUUUGAGCUCUGGAGUUCUGAGGUGCUGUGGGGUAAGCUGAUCAGAUGUCCUCACUAAGUUUGGCAUUAGUAUCAUGAGCCCCUAGGAACAACGGACCAUCAAAUUAUCUAAGGAAGGCUGAAUCAGCCUAAGUCAGAAAGAGAGCGGGUAAAAAUCCCUGUGCUGAUCAGAUUGGGACUGGGCCAAUGAGUAGCCCCUGCACUUCCAGCCUAGGUGACAUAGGGAGACCCAGUCUUUA
ensembl:misc_RNA Metazoa_SRP Metazoan signal recognition particle RNA